GCGGCGCGGCGCGGCCCUGGAGGCGGGUCCCGGACGCUGGGUCAGCGGGUUGUUGAGACCUUCCGAGGCUCCUUAGCCCUCCAGUAUUUGCCCUUCGGGCGGCACGGCAGCGGCAGGUUAGCAUCCCUGAGGCGACCUCUUCCCGUUGCCUGCCUAGGAGCCGUCCGCUCUGCUAGCCUUGCCGGCCGUGUUGGGCACGCCCUCCCCGAGACCCCGGCGCGCGGCGUCGCUCUGCUCCGAACCCACCUGCGGGGCAGAAAGGGCCCAGGAGCUUUCGUGGUGGUGUGUGGGCGUGUACCGUGGUGUGCGGUACUGGAGGAGGAGUGCUGCGUCCCAGCCUUCGCUCUCUCCUCUGUAAAGUAGGGAUACGAAAUAGCACGUGUGUUAAGAACUCAGCGCAUAGGUUGUGCGCAAUAAACGCCUGAUAGACUGAGUGAAGACACACACAGCCCAGCCCUGCCUUGUUGGAGGCUGAUCUAGGGGCCUUUAAUUCUGUGGAGGUAAUGUGGGAUUAUUUUACUCCGCACUAUUCUCAAACAUCUCUGAAGAGAGGCCAGCAUAAAAUUAGGAGUUGGAGCACCCUCAGCUCACACACAUCCGCUCCUAGAGCUCUUCUUGUCAGGUAGUUUGUCACUUUGGUGGCCCCACAGAAACUUGCCUCCUGACAGUAAUCGAUCCUGGAAUCUGGACUGGACCUGUGACUCGAUUUAACCAAUGGAAGAAUGUGGCAGAAGUGACUACCAAUUACAGAGAUGAGCUUUGAGAAUACCUGGUGACCUUGAUUUUGAGCUCUUGAUGACCCUGAGCUGCUCCCCUUCUUCCACCUUGCUGUAGAAAGAGAACACACACAGACCACAUGGAGGAAAAGGACCCAGUUACUACCAAGAACUGAGGUUCCAGACACAUGAACCUGAUGAACCCAUCCCAGCUAAAGGACAGUCGUUGAGGGAAGAAGCCAUCUAGGUUGCUCUAGCCAUCUGAGCUCUUCCUCAUUACCUAAAACAGAGGAAAUCCAAGUAAGGACAAUUUCCAAGGAUCUUCUCUUCAGAAAUGUGAAGAGCAGUGCUGGGAACUUAUGUAUUUAAUAAGCAUUCCAGGUGAGUCUUAUGAUCAGACAAGUAUGGCUGACAUUACCAUUAAGCAUCCUCAAUCUUCAGAUCUCACAUCAACAGAAAAUGAGCUGCUCGCAUUGUACAGAAUUCAGAAGAGGAAUCCAUGCCGGGAACCCUUUAGAUAUAGCCAUGGAGGACAAUGAACAAGAGCGAUGAGCGCAGAGAAUAGCCUGGAGGCAGUGAGAUGGACUGAACAAGGAUGUUGUCUGCUGCCAAACCAAAGAGCCUUUGCUGCUCCUGUCUUGCAGGAGGAAGUAUGCAUUAUGAACUGACAGUGGGGAGCCACAGCUGGCCCUAAAUUCGAAGAAUGCAGCAAGCUCACAACUGAAGGAACCCCUCUUGCCCUGACCACACACACCUUGCAGCAGACAGGACAUGACUUGAGCUAUUUCUGUUUGGAAAGGGGGUGUUUUCAUUUCUGUACCCCCAGAAGCAUAUCAUGAGACUGUAAGUAUCUUAUAUGGAAUUUAAAAAAUUACUGGUAGAGGAGUGGGAAAGUGAGACAAAGAAAGUAAGGCAACCAAUAUAGGAUUCAUUAUCAAGCCAGCUACUGUUGUGUACAAUGGGGGCUUAAUCCCAUGGGAAACUCUGAGAGCCAGUGUAGAACAUGCACUGCAGUGUUAAUCCACUGCAAGGAGUUAGGGAGCUGGGGUGUCCAUAUAUCAAGUCCCAUGAGUCGUUGGUUGAGAGGAGCUCCCAGGGAGGAUGAAAUAUUAAUUCCUCUACACUUUGGGCCUGCUGUGUAAGUGACAAAGACAGAGUAGGAAAUAAUCAGAGAAAGGCAUCAUACAAAGGAGCGCACGUGCUGGCAGCUGGAAGCCAGGCCAGUAUACGUGAAAGUGGUAAGGACAAGGGGAUAUAGGCAAAGCAUCUGCUUUAAGAACUCAGAGGGGGUCUCAUCAUUUAUGAGCUAGCUUCAGUACCUUAAAUGGGGACAUUCAUUUAAAGUGUAGGCACAUGUGUGUGAAUGCUGGGCAGUUAAAGAAAAUGCAAACUAUCUGAUUCUGCUUUUCAGAAUCACUUUCUCCCAUUCCAUAGGAUUCUGGGGGGACUGUCCCUCCAAAGGCCUCCCCGUCACAGAGUGUACAAAUGACCCAAGCGGACCAAUCAUUGUAGUCAUUAUAGCAGAUACUAUUGGUGCCCCAGUCAGAUCCCCUUUACUGGCCAGUGCACCCAUCCUGCAGUUCAGGUGAGUGUUGCCAUUAGAGGCUCACAGCCACAAACUUCUUCAGAGAAUUUCCCUCAGGAGGAGGGGGCCAAUUUGGCUGGGAUAUUGUCCCCUCCCACCAGGGGGCAUUCCACAUCUAAAAGGAGGUACAAAGACAGCUCAUCUAUCUCAUGGGAAGGUGAGGGAGACAAUUCUGCAGGCAAUUUAUACAUCAGAACUCCCCCAAGAGAUCAGCUGGAUCCUCACCUUUGUUAGUUUUUUCCCUGAUCCUAUCCUGCUUCCCAUGCUCCCUUAUAGGAUUUUCCUGAGAGCAUUCCUCCGUUGCUCAGGUUUAAGUCUCAGGCUCUGCGUCCUGGAUGCCCAGCUAGGACACAAUGAUGAAUUGGCCCAAAGAAGACAUAUGGCCCCAGCAUAGCUAGAGCCUUUGGGAUCAUCUCAGAAAGCAGAUCUGUCUUUCUCUAAGAUUAUGAGCUAUAUAUAAGAACAAUGUAGUAGAUACAUGUUCACUCCCUGAAAUGUACUUCACUCUACUUCUGAUAAUAUUACAUUGGGGAUCCCUGGGUAGCUCAGCGGUUUAGUGCCUGCCUUUGGCCUAGGGCGUGAUCCUGGAGUCCCUGGAUUGAGUCCCACAUCAGGCUCCCUGUGUGGAGCC